rnacentral:ncRNA from 1 species
AUAUCUAUGACCAGGAUGAAGCUUUGGUGAAACUAAGUGGAGGUCUGAACCGGAUGAUGUUGAAGAAUCGGAUGAGUUGUGGUUAUGUGUGAAAUGCG